rnacentral:rRNA from 2 species
AAUUACCCACUCCCAGCACGGGGAGGUAGUGACGAAAAAUAACGAUACGGGACUCAUCCGAGGCCCCGUAAUCGGAAUGAGUACACUUUAAAACUUUUCCCGAGGAUCAAUUGGAGGGUAAGUCUGGUGCCAGCAGCCGCGGUAAUUCCAGCUCCAAUAGCGUAUAUUAAAGUUGUUGCGGUUAAAAAGCUCGUAGUCGAAUCUGUGUCCCGCGCCGCUGGUUCAUCGCUCGCGGUGUUCAACUGGCGUGUCUCGCGGGACGUCCUGCCGGUGGGCGCUCGUAUCGUUUCGGCGGUGCGUGGCCCAACUCGUAGCCGUCUCGCGCGGUUGCGAAUCCCAUCGCGGUGCUCUUUAUUGAGUGUCGAGGUGGGCCGGCACGUUUACUUUGAACAAAUUAGAGUGCUUAAAGCAGGCUCAUUUUGCCUGAAUAUUGUGUGCAUGGAAUAAUGGAAUAGGACCUCGGUUCUAUUUUGUUGGUUUUCGGAACCCCGAGGUAAUGAUUAACAGGAACGGAUGGGGGCAUUCGUAUUGCGACGUUAGAGGUGAAAUUCUUGGAUCGUCGCAAGACGGACAGAAGCGAAAGCAUUUGCCAAAAACGCUUUCAUUGAUCAAGAACGAAAGUUAGAGGUUCGAAGGCGAUCAGAUACCGCCCUAGUUCUAACCAUAAACGAUGCCAGCUAGCGAUCCGCCGACGUUCCUCCGAUGACUCGGCGGGCAGCUUCCGGGAAACCAAAGCUUUUGGGUUCCGGGGGAAGUAUGGUUGCAAAGCUGAAACUUAAAGGAAUUGACGGAAGGGCACCACCAGGAGUGGAGCCUGCGGCUUAAUUUGACUCAACACGGGGCACCUAACCAGGUCCGGACACCGGAAGGAUUGACAGAUUGAGAGCUCUUUCUUGAUUCGGUGGGUGGUGGUGCAUGGCCGUU